rnacentral:tRNA from 1 species
CUCCUCGUAGUUCAAUGGAUAGAACGAGUGCCUCCUAAGCGCUAGAUACAGGUUCGAUUCCUGUCGAGGAGA